rnacentral:rRNA from 1 species
GACGAACGCUGGCGGCGUGCCUAAUACAUGCAAGUUGAGCGCUGAAGGUUGGUACUUGUACCAACUGGAUGAGCAGCGAACGGGUGAGUAACGCGUGGGGAAUCUGCCUUUGAGCGGGGGACAACAUUUGGAAACGAAUGCUAAUACCGCAUAAAAACUUUAAACACAAGUUUUAAGUUUGAAAGAUGCAAUUGCAUCACUCAAAGAUGAUCCCGCGUUGUAUUAGCUAGUUGGUGAGGUAAAGGCUCACCAAGGCGAUGAUACAUAGCCGACCUGAGAGGGUGAUCGGCCACAGUGGGACUGAGACACGGCCCAAACUCCUACGGGAGGCAGCAGUAGGGAAUCUUCGGCAAUGGACGAAAGUCUGACCGAGCAACGCCGCGUGAGUGAAGAAGGUGUUCGGAUCGUAAAACUCUGUUGGUAGAGAAGAACGUUGGUGAGAGUGGAAAGCUCAUCAAGUGACGGUAACUACCCAGAAAGGGACGGCUAACUACGUGC